CGGGGGACGCGCUUGCGCGUCCCGCCGGCGACCGGCGCACGGGUGAGUAACACGUAUGCAACCUGCCCCCGCCAGGGGUACAACCCUCCGAAAGGGGGCUGAUACCGCGUACAUCCCCUGGGGGCAUCCCCGGGGGAGGAAAGCCCUUUUGGGCGGGCGGGGAUGGGCAUGCGGCGCAUUAGGAAGACGGCGGUGUGACGGACCACCGUUCCGACGAUGCGUAGGGGUUCUGAGAGGAAGGCCCCCCACACUGGUACUGAGACACGGACCAGACUCCUACGGAAGGCAGCAG
rnacentral:rRNA from 1 species